UACGGGGGGGGCAAGCGUUGUUCGGAAUUACUGGGCGUAAAGGGCGCGUAGGCGGCCUGCUAAGUCGAACGUGAAAUCCCCGGGCUCAACCCGGGAACUGCGUCCGAUACUGGCAGGCUUGAAUCCGGGAGAGGGAUGUGGAAUUCCAGGUGUAGCGGUGAAAUGCGUAGAUAUCUGGAGGAAUACCGGUGGCGAAGGCGGCAUCCUGGACCGGCAUUGACGCUGAGGAGCGAAAGCUAGGGGAGCAAACGGG
rnacentral:rRNA from 1 species